rnacentral:rRNA from 1 species
GACGAACGCUGGCGGCGUGCUUAACACAUGCAAGUCGAACGGAAAGGCCCUGCUUUUGUGGGGUGCUCGAGUGGCGAACGGGUGAGUAACACGUGAGUAACCUGCCCCUGACUUUGGGAUAACUUCAGGAAACUGGGGCUAAUACCGGAUAGGAGCUCCUGCUGCAUGGUGGGGGUGGGAAAGUUUCGGCGGUUGGGGAUGGACUCGCGGCUUAUCAGCUUGUUGGUUGGGUAGUGGAUUACCAAGGCUUGGACGGGUAGCCGGCCUGAGAGGGUGACCGGCCACAUUGGGACUGAGCUACGACCCAGCCUCCUACGGGAGGCAGCGGUGGGGAAUAUUGCACAAUGGGCGGAAGCCUGAUGCAGCAACGCCGCGUGCGGGAUGACGGCCUUCGGGUUGUAAACCACUUUCGCCUGUGACGAAGCGUGAGUGACGGUAAUGGGUAAAGAAGCACCGGCUAACUACGUG